AUUUUUAUUAGUAGUAGUAUUUUCUCUGUAUUUUUUGAUUUCUGAAGCUGUGGCUACCUGGUUUUUUCUGUUUCGGUUAUGAUUCUAAUUUUGAGGCAACACUGUAAAACUCUCAUAUACCAGUGGUCAGGAAUGUGCUGCAGCAGAUCCUCUCUCUCUUACUAAAUCCAGAACACCAAAUGUCUUAGUCCAUUUUGCCUUACCAUAAAGGAAUACCUAAGGCUGAUAAUUUAUAAAUAAAAGAGGUGUAUUUGGCUUACGCUUCCACAGCCUGUACAAGAAACAUGGUGCCAGCGUCUGCCUCUGCUGAGGACUGCAGGAAACUUCCAAUCAUGACCCAAGAAAUGAGGAGCCUGCAUGCCACAUAUUGAGAGAUGGAGCAUGAGAAAGAGGCAGGAGGAGAAAGUUGCCAAACUGUUUUAACAAUCAGGUCUCGGGGGAACCAAUAAAACAAGAACUCAUGAUCUGGGCACCAAGCCAUUCAAAAGGGAUGUGCCCCAUGGCUCAAACACCUGUCACUAGGCCCCACCUGUAAUACUGAGAUCAAAUUUCAACAUGAGAUUUUGACAUGACAAAUACCCAAACUAUAUCACCUCAAAAGAGAAUAUUUCUGGGAAUAUUAAGAAGGGUUCACAAAGCAGACUCAGGCGUUGGGUUUUGUGUGUAACCAUGGUAUGGAAUUCACAGGCAGUCCAUGUUGCUAGCUCCGGUUUUGUAGGCUGAGAGGGGCCUAAGUCAGGUAUUCAACCUAAAGCGAUUAGCCUCCUUCACUUAAGCACUUGGCUGAAAGACUGACUUCAGAAGACAGUACUCUAGCUGGGAUGUUGCACAUGGAACAGAUUGAUCUUGAAAUCUGGUCCUGAAGUCAGUUUCACAGCAGGAAUUUCACACAUGCAGGCACAAAUGAGCACUUGUGCAAAUCUCCAUGAAAUAGCUGCGAAUAUUGUCUAAACUGGCUUUCAGCUGGGUAGCCAGUCUUCCAGAUAAAUGUCAAAUUAACUGGAUAAUUAUACCUCAAUAUGAACUCAAUGUCCAACAGUAGAUUUUGGGGAGAUUUAUUUUUCUUUAAACAGUGCUGGCUUCGUAAUCUUAUAGAAACAUUGUUUAUCUCAGAUUCUGAGAAGUAUUCAAAUAAAUAAAAGAGUAAACCAAAUGGAUUAUCAUUUUCCUCUUUCCUCUUCCCUCCCUCCCUUCCUCCUUCUUCUUUCCCUGUACCUAGUGUGUGCAAAGAACUAUGCUGGGUGUUGUAGAAUAAAACAAGUUAACAUAUAACCUUUCAGUAGUCAACGAGCAACCUCAUGGGGAAGACAGACAAAUGCUAACUGUAAAAUACCAUACAUGUGCUCUAAUAGAAAUAUCAACUAUGUAUUUUGAAAACAUACAGAUUCUAAGUCCCAAAUCAGCCAGGACCCACUGUCUUGGCUACUGCUUUUAACUAUGUUGAUUAGCAAGAUGAUGACACAUAGUAGAUAUUUAAAAGAUAGAACAGGGAAUGCACUUUGUAAUUUUGUGGAAAAGAUGAGUGGCAAAGAAAUGAAAACAAAGAUUAUAUUUGAGCUGGGAUAUAAAGGAAUUUCUUUUUUCUUAACCUGUUUUAAUUUUGUUUUUGGUUUUGUUUUGUGAAAAAUAACCCUGGAUGCUUCCAACACUUUCUCUUUCUACAGUGACCCCACCUUUACAAUUGCCUGUAAUUCUCACUAGCAGUGUAUUAGAGGGCAAAAGAUUUGAACAGACACAUCAGACAAGAAGAUAUACAAAUAGCCACUAAGCACUUGAAAGGAUUCUGAACAUCAUUAGUCAUCAGUGAAAUGCAAAUUAAAGCCAUAAUGAAUGGCGCUAUGCAUUUUCAGAAUGGCUAGGAUUAAAGACUGAAAAAAAUCAAGCGUUGGUGAAUACGUAAACUUAUUGGGUUUAUGUUUUGCAUAUGCAAAGUUUUAUCUCCCUAAGGGAGAGUUUUACUUCCUAUUUCCUAACUUCGUAUGUUUUAUUGCUUUUACUUUCCAUAUUUCAAUUGACAGAACCUCUUAUACAGUGUUUCCAUUUUUCAUUUUUGAAUUUUAAGGGUCCUCUAGAUCAUCUGGUAUAUGUGUUGUGAAUAUUAUCUCCCAGUCUGUAGGUUGCCUUUUGAUUUUGUUACCUGUGCUUCCAAGGAGCAAAAAUUUGGAUUAAACAAUUGAUUAAUGUUUUUGUAAUGGUUAAUAAUAUUCGUGUUCUAAGAAAACAUUUCUUAACCUCUCUAGGAAUUUUAUAACUUUAGGAUUUACAUCUAAGUCUGUAAUCAAUUUCCAUUUUAUGGCAUGAGAUACGAAUCUCUUAUCUUACUUCCAUUUAGAAAUUUAAUUGUUUUAGUCAUAUUUAUUGAAAAGUAUUUUCUUUGAUUAUUGAAUUGUCUUAGCGCCUUUGUAAAAAAAUCAAUUAAAUAUGUGUGGGUCUAUUUCUGAACUUGUGACUUUGUCCCAUCCCUCUGUAUCUUUAAACUUUUGCCGCUCCUAACGUGUCUUGAUUUCUGUAAGCUUUAUUUUGUGCUGAAAUCAAGUAUGGUAAUUAUUCUAAAUUUGUUCUUCUGUUAAAGAAAGUGCUUAGCAAAGUAAUGCUAAGUUCUUUGAACUUCCAUAUAAAUUGUAGAAUCAGCUUAUAGAGUUUGCCAAAAAAACCUGUGGGAUUUUGAUUGGAACUGCAUUGAAAGCAUAGACAAUUUUUGAGUAAUUGACAUUUAACAAUAUUGAGACUUUCAAUUCUUGAAUGUAAUUUAUCAUCCCAUUUAUUUAGACCUUCAAUUUCUCACAAGAAUAUUGAUAAUAUUUAGUGUGAGAUCUUUAUUUUUUCCGUUGCAUUUAUCUAAGUAUUUUAUGAAUUUUCGUGCUAUUGUGAAUGGAUUUUGAACAAUUAUUAUUUUCUAGUUAUUUACUGCCAACAUAUACAAGUACAAAGCAUUUUUAAUAUUAACCCUUUAUCCUGUAACCUUGUUAGACUCACUGAUUAGUUCUAGCAGUUGUUUUGUAGACCUAUUGAGGUUUUUUUGUACAUAUGUAUUAUUAUGUAUCUAUAUGUCUCAAUAAAUGCAAAACAGAAAUCCCUGAUUCUCUUUUCUACCAGGUUGUUUUAUCUUUAUAUAUGGAACUACCAUCACUAUCACAUAUUUGCUACAGACUAAAAACUAGACAUGAUCACUCCUUUGUCUCACCUUCCAAAUAAAUCCAGAAGAUCACAUGGUUAUCUCUGCCGUUCUAAAUCUUUCCAGUUCUAUUUAUAGUUAUAUUCAUUUUUACAGCCACCACCUUACCCCCCAGCUACAAUCCUCCCGUGUCUGAUGGAUUAAAAUCAUUUACUUCAUGAUCUUCUUGCUGCUUCUAUUGACCCUCAACACAACAAAGAGAGCUAUCUUUUUGAAAUGUUAAUAGGAUUAUGCCUAUACACUAUCAGAAGCACCUCAUUAAGCUUUAGUUGAAACCCAGGUUACUUACUGCUGUCUUCCAGACUUGAAACACUGUGGUCCCUACUUAAGCUCCAUGCUUGUACUUUUUCUUCUACCCGUUAUGGUAUGACUGCAGCUGUCUUUUCUGUUUCUUGAAUAUAUCCAGUCCUUUUCAUCCCCGGGUGCUUGAAGUUGUUCUUCCCUCUGCCUGGAGUUCUCCUCACCUUUCAGGUUUCAGCUCAAAGAUAAAAUUCUCAGAGAUGCACUAGCUUCCUUGAAGCACUAGCUACAACAGUUAUCCUACAGUUAGUCUCAUCUCUGAUUAAUCUGCUUAUUUCUUUCAUUACAUUAUUACAACCUGCAAUAAUCUUUUUAUUUUAUUUUUGACUGGCCUUGUUCCUAUUACUAUAAUAUAUCUUAUCUUUCAAUUCGUUGCUGUAUUCAUAAUACUUCAAAUAAUACCUAACACGUAAUUGGAAUUCAACAUGUGUACUGAAGGAAUAAGUCAAUGAAUAAAUAUUUCUAAAAGUCUAAGCUUCUGUUAAAUUCCUAAAGGGGUCUUUUACUCAAUUUAAGAACCACUGCUUUUAAAGUACAAAAAAACACAUAGAUUUCUUCUGUUUUGUUCUAAAGCAUAAGAAUCACAAUAGCAUUAAUCAAAGGAGGAUAUAAGGUAGGAAAGCAGGCAUAUAGGUAUAAUAAAAUAGACCUCUCUAUAUCAGUUGAUUUCUGUCAACCGACUAAAUCUCAAAUAGAUUAUGCAUAUUAUGAGAGUUCCACUGGCAGCUUCUCAGAAAUUUCCCUGAGAUUUAGAAUUUAUUGGCAUCUUCGAUUGCUUUAGCAUUGAUACUUAUGCGAUUAAGACAUUGUCAAGCACACCAUUUGAGACAAAUUUUGAGAGACAAUGUUACCCUUGUUUAAAAUACUAAUUUGUAAUCCUUCCCUUCUAUUUUUAUAUCGUGUCUUGCACUUACUUUAGUUAUCUAGCUUUUGUUGCUUUUUUGUAUCUCUAAAAACCAUAACAUCUUACCCUUGAAUUUUUUGCAUUGAUAUAUUAGUUAUGUGACUGAAAUCAUUUUCCUUCUUAUUUAUUUUUUUCAAGAGAUACUAAAAGAAAUCUUACUUUAUUCUGUAAGAUUAAUUUAUAAAGCAGCUCCUUCUUUGUCACAUGAUCAGAUACCACAAAAACAUUAAAUGUUUUCAAAUAGAUUUUAAUAAUGUCUGAACAAAACAAUGGUCUUCCCAAAAGCUAUGUUGAUGUUUACCUCAUAUGCUUAAAUCAAAGAGGAAAAGGGUCCACGCAAACCACCACACAAUUAAAAUAAUAAGCACACUGAUAUUAUAUUGCCCCUAAAAUGAAAUCUUUUAAAAUCCAAUGUACUGUGUAUCUCACCUAUAUAAUUUACUUGACAGCUGUCAUUUAUUGAGUGCUUUCUCUGCUAUUACAAUAGUUAAUAUACAUCUUUUUUGGUUCCUCUUCCCACACUAGUAAUAUCGUAAGCCUCUUUGGUGUUGCAUCAGGGAUUCUUACUAGAAAUGUCCCAUGGUACUUGGAACACAAUAGCUCCUUGUUGAAUUUAACUACUAAAUUAUAACAAAUGUUCAUGACAACAAAUUUUAACCAUAUAUUGGGAAAAUGCCAACAUAAUCAAGCCAGAAAUAUCCGUAUGUAUUAAUCAGAGACUGUAUUCUACAGAGUUGCAAGGAUUUUGUCUUUUUUAGCUUCAAGUUAUUAUAGAGCACUAUUAUUAACAUAGAACUACAUUUUUGCCCACUUUCAGUAUGGCUGUGUUAUAGGCUGAAUUAUCUUACUCUAAAUAUUUAUAUGUUGAAGUCCUAGCCCCCAGUAUCUCAAAAUAUGACUAUAUUUGGAGACACGAGCUUUACACAUGUAACUAAGUUAAAAUGAGGUGAUUCUGGUAGGUCCUAAUUCACUAUGACUGAUGUCCUUAUUAGAGGAGAGUGACAAACGGGGAGGCAGCCAUGGUGCAUGAUGAUCGCAAAAGAAAUACCAUGUGAGGAUACAGCAAGAAGGUGGCCAUCUACAAGCCAAGGAGACAGGCCUCAGAAGAAACCAACCCUGCUUACACCUUGGGCUCAGACUUCUAAUCUCCAGAACUACACAGGGUCUCGCUAUAUUUCUCAGGCUGGUUCCACACUCCUGGCCUCAAGGGAUUCUCCCUCCUAAGCCUCCAAAAGCAUAAGGUUUAAUUGCACGGAGAGAGGGAGCAUAGAACAGGAGAAAUACACCACAGCAACAGAGGUAAGGACCUCAGCUUUAGAGAUUUCCCAUUUUAUUACAGUUAUAUUUCCAUUUAGAUAUGUUAUUUAGAUAUUAAGGUGUAACUGUCCAAUAGGCAGUAUGAACCUGGGUUCUGGAUGAAGACCGAUCAGGAUAUUGUGUCAAUGACAGUAGUUGAAGGCACUGGUAUUAAAGGUUGUAGAGAGAGUUGUGAUGAGCCAGAAUCUUGAGCAAUUUAAGAGUUAGAUGUUGUACAGAUUGUUGAAGGCUAGAAUUGUUUUUUGUUGUUGUUGUUGUUGUUUGUUUGUUUCUUUUCUUAAAGCCCUGGCCCAUUUCCCUGAAGAGCUCUCACUGGAAAAGUC